rnacentral:lncRNA from 1 species
CAGAGCAGCUCGGACCAAACAGCCCCGCCUCUGUUUCUCCCAGGUCUAUUCUUUAUCCAAUCAGGAGCAGCAGGACCAACGCCCCGCCCUUCUGUUCUCCCAGGUCUAUUUCUUUAUCCAAUCAGACCGGCUCGCUGUUCUCCCACGUUUCUUUAAUCCAUAGAGCAGCAGGACCAACAGCCCCGCCCUUCUGUUCUCCCCGGUCUAUUUCUUUACGCCAAUCAGCAGCAGCAGUACAACAGCCCGCCCUUUCUGUUCUCCCAGGUCUAUUUCUUUAUCCAAUCAGAGCAGCAGGACCAACAGCCCCGCCCUUCUGUUCUCCCAGGUCUAUUUCUAUGGGCACAAACACUGUUCAUGACACAAACUGUUUUGGCAGGUUUGAAACUUAUUCCCUGCAAUUCUACACAUUUUGUCAUGGGCUGCAGAGAAAAUGUAGCAAUUUUUGAAGCACGUUUUCUUGCAAUUCUAUACAUUUUGCCAAUGUAUAAUGUUUAUUGAUGUGAUAUCUGAGUGACUCAAACAUUAAACAAAAUCUAUGUGCUAAAAGAAGAACAAGCUAAAAAAACGUUAGUUGAUCUGGACAUUUCAGAUCAGUUAUAAAUAUCUCUCUAAGAUCUGCAAUGACUAACAUGACAACAGGAACCGAUGAAUUAAAAAAUCAAUUAAAAAUUACUUUAACCUUUAUUUAACUAGGCAAGUCAGUAAAAAGAACAAAUUCUUAUUUACAAUGACGGCCUAGAAACUGAUGAUGAACUACCCAAAUUCUACAUUUCACCUUGUGCGUUUUUACUGUUUCAACUUAAAUAAAUCAACCGUUUCGGAACCACUGAUUUAGACCCCGUAGUACCUCGUACCUGACUAAUUGAC